rnacentral:rRNA from 1 species
UACGGAGGGGGCAAGCGUUGUCCGGAAUUAUUGGGCGUAAAGAGCGUGUAGGCGGCCCGAUUAGUCCGCUGUGAAAGUCCAGGGCUCAACCCUGGAAUGCCGGUGGAUACUGUCGGGCUAGAGUCCGGAAGGGGCGAGUGGAAUUCCUGGUGUAGCGGUGAAAUGCGCAGAUAUCAGGAGGAACACCAAUGGCGAAGGCAGCUCGCUGGGACGUGACUGACGCUGAGACGCGAAAGCGUGGGGAGCAAACAGG